UCAUGAUGACAGGCGAGAGAGAGCAUGUGUGUUGGUGCAGGAAAAAUUACCAUUUAGAAAACCAUCAGAUCUUAUGAGAAUUCACUCAGUAUCACAAGAACAGCAUGAGGAAAUCUUCCCCCAUAAUCCAAUCACUUCCCACCAGGUCUCUCCCUACAC
rnacentral:miRNA from 10 species